CCAAACACCAUGCUGGGGGCCAGGUCUGCAAUGAUGAAAGCAAAAGUCCCUGCCGCUGAAGGAGUGUGAAGUCAACUGAAAUGAUGUCACAUGAGGAAUGACUGAAGAACUGAAGAUAUUUGACUUAGUAAAGAAAAGACCCAGAGGGGACUUGGACUCUGUUACAGUCUUCAGUCAUCUCAUAAUCUUCUGGGAAACCUGCUAUUCUGUCUACUUUCCACCAGGAGAGGGAGCCAUGGGAAAUGGACCUGGUGUCUGAGGCUGCAUCAAGCUAGUUGCUCCAGAGGGCUGGUGCCUUUCUGAGUUCAACUGCUGAACCCCAAGUGGUAGACCCCUGAGCUCCUGGGAUCUCACAAGACCUUAUACUAAAGGAAAGAAAGCACACACAGGAGGGAUGGGCUGGAGUAGAUGACCCUUGAGGGCCUUUUCUACUUUGAUUUUGCAUGAAACUAUAUGCCUCAAACUAUACAAUGUUGUCAUGUGUUUUACUGGAAAAAGAGGGGACCC